UGUUUUAAUUGAAGUCACCUGGCCCUUGC
rnacentral:piRNA from 1 species